rnacentral:pre_miRNA from 1 species
CCUCCGUUUCAAAAUAAGUGCAGCCAUGGUUUUCAGUGUCCAACUUUAAUUAUUCGUCUUAUUUGAAAAAUUUUAAAAAAAAUUAAAAACAUAAGUCACGAGUAAAGUACUAUUCAUGUUUUAUUAUCUUAUAACAACAAAAUUGCUAAUUAUAAAAAAAUUUUAAAUAAGACGGAUGAUCAAAGUUGAGCGCGAAAACUCAUGGCUGCACUUAUUUUGGGACGGAGGAG